rnacentral:rRNA from 1 species
AUGCUGCUGACAGUAACAGCGGCUUGUUGCUCGUCGCGUCCUCUUCUUCCUCCUGUGAGAAGUAGAACCAACGGCGGAGGCGGAGGUCCACCCCGUCGUGCUGGCGCGGCAAAAUUCAGAGCUCUUGCCGCGCCCCUGCUGCGGCGCCCGUCCUCCUUUGCUUUCAGCCGCGCUUGCUCUUCUUCACCUCCUCCUACUCCUGGCGACAAGGACUCCGACCCCGAGCUGUUCGAUGAAUACUCGGUUCUUUCUUCAGAUACUCCAUGGGAGCCCGAGGAUGUAUGGAGGACAUUUGCGGCAUACCUUCUUGCCUUGCACAUUCCCUUGAGCUUUGGAGGACUCGGUGUGGUAGCCAAAGUGCUACAUUCUUCCUCACUAGACCCACUGACAACAGUCGUUUCCACAGCCAUGCUUCAACUAGGAGAGCUCACUCUGGGUUUAUCACUGUUGCAGUACACUGCAAAGCCUGGCCGUCAAGUUGGUACCUUCUUUGCUGGGAAGUUCUCGUCCAGGCCUAGCUGGGUAAAAGAAACUGUAUUAUGGUUGGGACUUCUGAUGUCUAUGGUUUUUCUCACAUCUCUGAUAGCUGACAGACUGAUAGGUACCGAGGAUGCAUACGAUCCUAUAUUAAAGGAAAUCCUCUCCGAUGGUGGAACCUCUAGGCUAGUCUGCUGGUUUCUGUACUGUGUGGUUGCUCCAUUGUCCGAAGAAAUCAUUUACCGCGGGUUUCUUCUAACAGCCCUAUCUUCCUCGAUGAAAUGGAGGAACGCUGUCGUCGUAAGUUCAGUUAUGUUCAGUGUAGCACACCUCUCGGGGGGAAGUUUCUUUCAGUUGUUCGUCGUCGGAUGCAUCACAGGGUUAGCUUAUUGCCGGACUGGAACUUUGGCUGCUUCAUUUACCAUCCACAGCUUGUACAAUGCGGUGAUAUUGUUUACUACGAUGAUGUCUUGA